UUACUACUCCCUCCGUCCCAAAAUUCUUGUCUUAGAUUUGUCUAAAUACGGAUGUAACAAGUCAUGUUUUAGUAUUAGAUACAUUCGCAUCUAGACGAAUCUAAAACAAGAAUUUUGGGACCAAGGGAGUACCAA
rfam:Triticum urartu cultivar G1812 contig1131000, whole genome shotgun sequence.